AGCAAACAUGAUUAGAUACCCUGGUAGUCCCACGCAGUAAAUGAUGUCGACUUGGAGGUCGUGCCCUUGAGGCGUGGCUUCCGGAGCUAACGCGUUAAGUCGACCGCCUGGGGAGUACGGCCGCAAGGUUAAAACUCAAAUGAAUUGACGGGGGCCCGCACAAGCGGUGGAGCAUGUGGUUUAAUUCGAUGCAACGCGAAGAACCUUACCUGGUCUUGACAUCCACAGAACUUUCCAGAGAUGGAUUGGUGCCUUCGGGAACUGUGAGACAGGUGCUGCAUGGCUGUCGUCAGCUCGUGUUGUGAAAUGUUGGGUUAAGUCCCGCAACGAGCGCAACCCUUAUCCUUUGUUGCCAGCGGUUAGGCCGGGAACUCAAGAGGAGACUGCCAGUGAUAAACUGGAGGAAGGUGGGGAUGACGUCAAGUCAUCAUGGCCCUUACGACCAGGGCUACACACGUGCUACAAUGGCGCAUACAAAGAGAAGCAAACUCGCGAGAGCAAGCGGACCUCAUAAAGUGCGUCGUAGUCCGGAUUGGAGUCUGCAACUCGACUCCAUGAAGUCGGAAUCGCUAGUAAUCGUGAAUCAGAAUGUCACGGUGAAUACGUUCCCGGGCCUUGUACACACCGCCCGUCACACCAUGGGAGUGGGUUGCAAAAGAAGUAGGUAGCUUAACCUCGGGAGGGCGCUAC
rnacentral:rRNA from 1 species